UACGAAGGGGGCUAGCGUUGCUCGGAAUCACUGGGCGUAAAGGGUGCGUAGGCGGGUCUUUAAGUCAGGGGUGAAAUCCUGGAGCUCAACUCCAGAACUGCCUUUGAUACUGAGGAUCUUGAGUUCGGGAGAGGUGAGUGGAACUGCGAGUGUAGAGGUGAAAUUCGUAGAUAUUCGCAAGAACACCAGUGGCGAAGGCGGCUCACUGGCCCGGAACUGACGCUGAGACACGAAAGCGUGGGGAGCAAACAGG
rnacentral:rRNA from 1 species